rnacentral:rRNA from 1 species
AAUAGAUACCCAGGUAGUCCUAGCUGUAAACGAUGAGCACUGGGUUGAGGGACUUCCACAUCCUCUCGGCCGUAGCGAAAGCGUUAAGUGCUCCGCCUGGGGAGUAUGGCCGCAAGGCUGAAACUCAAAGGAAUUGACGGGGGCUCACACAAGCGGUGGAGGAUGUGGCUUAAUUCGAGGCUACGCGAAGAACCUUAUCCUAGAUUUGACAUGGUUGAGAAUCUCCUUGAAAGAGGAGAGUGCCCUUCGGGGAGCUCUUUCACAGGUGCUGCAUGGCUGUCGUCAGCUCGUGUCGUGAGAUGUUGGGUUAAGUCCCUUAACGAGCGAAACCCUUAUCUUUAGUUGCCAGCGGGUCAAGCCGGGGACUCUAAAGAGACUGCCGGUGUCAAACCGGAGGAAGGUGGGGAUGACGUCAAGUCCUCAUGGCCUUUAUGGUCUAGGGCUGCACACGUCCUACAAUGGCACGUACAAAGGGAAGCCAAGCCGCGAGGCCGCGCUAAUCCCAAAAAGCGUGCCCCAGUUCGGAUUGCAGG